UAUGCGGGAGUGAAAACAGAAAAUCCGUAUACUUUUCAGCCAAGUUUAACACGAGGAUUCUUCAUAUUCUUCUCUUACUUCCUCUACACAGGUUUGUCAGUCAUACUUGCAGCCAUUUUGAAUAGAUCACGUGACAAAGUUACUUCCACGUGAGUGCUGCAAUCUGAUUGGGACGCUCAAUCCUGUGCUUAGUGCCACAAAUUCUGUAGCAGUGUCACCAGACUCUUCUGCGCCACCCCCGCGCAACGAAGAGGCGGGGCCAGACUA